rnacentral:rRNA from 1 species
GUAACGCGUACGAAACCUACCUUUAAGAGAGGAAUAGCCCUGGGAAACUGGGAGUAAUGCCUCAUAGUAUCCAUUUACCGCAUGGUUUAUGGAUUAAAGCUACGGCGCUUAAAGAUGGUCGUGCGUCUGAUUAGCUAGUUGGUAGGGUAACGGCCUACCAAGGCUACGAUCAGUAGGGGGCGUGAGAGCGUGGCCCCCCACACGGGUACUGAGACACGGACCCGACUCCUACGGGGGGCAGCAGUAAGGAAUAUUGGGCAAUGGACGCAAGUCUGACCCAGCCAUCCCGCGUGCAGGACGAAUGCCCUAUGGGUUGUAAACUGCUUUUGUUUGGGAAGAAAUGUAUUCUUUUAAGAGUAUUUGACGGUACCAGACGAAUAAGCACCGGCUAACUCCGUGCCAGCAGCCGCGGUAAUACGGAGGGUGCAAGCGUUAUCCGGAAUCACUGGGUUUAAAGGGUGCGUAGGCGGCCAGAUAAGUCAGAGGUGAAAGUUUCCGGCUCAACCGGGAGAUUGCCUUUGAUACUGUUUGGCUUGAAUCAGAUUGAGGUUGGCGGAAUGUGACAUGUAGCGGUGAAAUGCAUAGAUAUGCCAUAGAACAUCGAUUGCGAAGGCAGCUGGCUGGAUCUGUAUUGACGCUGAGGCA